rnacentral:lncRNA from 1 species
CAAGGUCCUAGCAGGACGAAGGAAGGAAGAGCCGCGUCAAAGGUGUGGAGGAAAGCUAGAAGUUUUCUUUGCCGACCUUUCCUAGGCUUUACCAGACUUACUUCUGCAGCGAGUUUCAAAGGAAGCGGGAUUGUUGCUAGCGAAAUGUAAUAAGAGCGACUUAUAAUGAUGGCGUAGGACCUGUCGGGAAUGGGUGGAGCGGAGGGGCGCGGCCGACCGUCUAGAAGGGGGGCACGAUUGGAAAAGAAGUUGUAUGAGGUGAUUUAGACGACAGCGGCGGGGAGAGGAGGGAGGAGGCGCCGCCGCGUGGGUGAUUUGGCCACACUAGAGAUGUGCUAUGCUCUGAAGCUCAACUGAAUUGGUUGUACAGGACCACUUCAAAUGGCAUCAGCUUAUGAAGAUAAAGGAAAAGGGGGGCAACCUAAACCUCUAGGAUCACUUUUUCAAUGGGGAGAAGCCCUAUCUGCAGUAAAAGAUCAAAUUCCUUCACUAGACUCUGAUACAUCAGUGUCUGAUGGGGAGGAAGAUGACGGAGAGCUUUUCAUCUUCCAGCGAGAUCAACCCAAUCUGAUUCCUGACUUGUCAAAAGAACUUGAGGAUCUUCCUCCAGCACAGGAACACUUACAGAAAACAUAUGCAUUCAUGAGACAUCCCAGAGAGGCCUGGAAUGAAGAUCAAGAAAAUUCAGCAUUUCAGAAAGAUAGAAGUGCUCUCCAGUUUGGAUCUAUGGGAUUCACAUUAGAAAACAGAGAUGGCUUGGGCGUUCUGGUAGAAGAAAGGCUUGGCCAAGAAGCCAUAUUUACUUCAGAGUCCUCUCAAGAGGACCAUAAACCUUUACGGGUAACUUCAGGAGUUCUCACUCUAGAAGAUGCGAGGAAGGAGGACUUUCUACAUCCAGUAUCUGAUGUUGUACCCUCUGNAGAAGUGUCACCUUUUCUAAAUUUAAACACUAGUGAAGAAGAGCGAAGGGUAUUAAUAGAAACAAAAAUUCUUUCUAAGGUGUCGUUAGAACCAUCUUCUGGAGAUGGAAGUCGUUCUCAGCCAGAAAAUGGUUCAGAAAGAACGACCAAGGCAGAAAAAGGGAUGGGAGACAUUCCAGCUGAACACCCUCAAAAGCUAAUGCUGUCUGGAUUCAAGGAUCUUGAGAAGUGGAAUUUAGACAAACUUCUGCAGGACUUGAAGAAGGGAACUCUGGAUACAAACUGGACCGCCAAAACUACUUUUUCUUUUAUGGAUCAUGAAACCACAAGGAUCUCUUCACAAAGGUCACUCAUGGGAAAAUUGGAAGAACUGUGUCAAGAGCAGUCAAGGACACUUUUCUGGGAGCACAGGAAAUGCCGGACCAAGCGUCCUCACUUUGAUCAGUGCCAGGGAGAUGGGAGCCACGUUCCUAUCUCGGCAUCAUCCAUAAAUGGUCAUAGCCUGACUCCAGAGGAAUUGCAAUGUGUUCCAGAACCACCAACUAUAUACAUUGAUUUGAGGGAUGCAGCACCUCAGAGGCCAGAGCUGUUGGCUGUUGAAAAGCAAAGCUCGAGUGACAGUUCCACAGAUGAAGAGGAAGAUGCAGAAAUAACAGGCCAAGAGAAAAUUGGAGAGAAAAUGAAGGGUUUUUCCCAACCAUCACGGAUGGAUGAGAGCAUGAAACAGAAGCUCAGGGAACAGCAAGAGAAAUCGGCAUCUCAGUGAUCCAUCACUGGGAAACAGCCCAUGGCAGAAUAAGCUCCCACUCUGUUCUAUAUGAUCAGUUGCACACAGUAGCCAGAGAGCACUUUCUUCUGGAAAUCCCAUGCUUCAUAUAGCCCUGGUCCUGCUCUGUGCAGGAUGUGAUUGAAACAACCUGGCGUGAGUUUUCCAACUUGGACCAUAACAGGCUGCAUGAGCAAACCAGGGAAAACUUUUCAACCAUUUAUUUAAGUAUGUUGUCAGUCUUAUCGUUCCACUAAAAAAUGGUUUCUUCUUCUCCUCGUCUGUGGCUGGCAGAGCUACUAACUUCNGGGAAUGGCUGGGUGCUCCUGAGUUUGGGCAAAUUCCUUUUGGACUACGGUUCCCAUGGCCGAUCAAUGAAAGAAAUGUUCCUCUGAACUCAGCUGCCCCAUCAGCAUACGGAAGCAGCAGCAUUUUCAACCCAUGUGAUUGCUGUUGCAUUUUCUAUCAGUUGCGCUUUAAAGGAAGUAAAGUAAAAUAAACAAGAGACAAUCCUCA